GUAGGAUCUCGACCGAUGCCCUUGAGAGCCUUCAACCCAGUCAGCUCCUUCCGGUGGGCGCGGGGCAUGACUAUCGUCGCCGCACUUAUGACUGUCUUCUUUAUCAUGCAACUCGUAGGACAGGUGCCGGCAGCGCUCUGGGUCAUUUUCGGCGAGGACCGCUUUCGCUGGAGCGCGACGAUGAUCGGCCUGUCGCUUGCGGUAUUCGGAAUCUUGCACGCCCUCGCUCAAGCCUUCGUCACUGGUCCCGCCACCAAACGUUUCGGCGAGAAGCAGGCCAUUAUCGCCGGCAUGGCGGCCGACGCGCUGGGCUACGUCUUGCUGGCGUUCGCGACGCGAGGCUGGAUGGCCUUCCCCAUUAUGAUUCUUCUCGCUUCCGGCGGCAUCGGGAUGCCCGCGUUGCAGGCCAUGCUGUCCAGGCAGGUAGAUGACGACCAUCAGGGACAGCUUCAAGGAUCGCUCGCGGCUCUUACCAGCCUAACUUCGAUCACUGGACCGCUGAUCGUCACGGCGAUUUAUGCCGCCUCGGCGAGCACAUGGAACGGGUUGGCAUGGAUUGUAGGCGCCUGAUGCGGUAUUUUCUCCUUACGCAUCUGUGCGGUAUUUCACACCGCAUAUGGUGCACUCUCAGUACAAUCUGCUCUGAUGCCGCAUAGUUAAGCCAGCCCCGACACCCGCCAACACCCGCUGACGCGCCCUGACGGGCUUGUCUGCUCCCGGCAUCCGCUUACAGACAAGCUGUGACCGUCUCCGGGAGCUGCAUGUGUCAGAGGUUUUCACCGUCAUCACCGAAACGCGCGAGACGAAAGGGCCUCGUGAUACGCCUAUUUUUAUAGGUUAAUGUCAUGAUAAUAAUGGUUUCUUAGACGUCAGGUGGCACUUUUCGGGGAAAUGUGCGCGGAACCCCUAUUUGUUUAUUUUUCUAAAUACAUUCAAAUAUGUAUCCGCUCAUGAGACAAUAACCCUGAUAAAUGCUUCAAUAAUAUUGAAAAAGGAAGAGUAUGAGUAUUCAACAUUUCCGUGUCGCCCUUAUUCCCUUUUUUGCGGCAUUUUGCCUUCCUGUUUUUGCUCACCCAGAAACGCUGGUGAAAGUAAAAGAUGCUGAAGAUCAGUUGGGUGCACGAGUGGGUUACAUCGAACUGGAUCUCAACAGCGGUAAGAUCCUUGAGAGUUUUCGCCCCGAAGAACGUUUUCCAAUGAUGAGCACUUUUAAAGUUCUGCUAUGUGGCGCGGUAUUAUCCCGUAUUGACGCCGGGCAAGAGCAACUCGGUCGCCGCAUACACUAUUCUCAGAAUGACUUGGUUGAGUACUCACCAGUCACAGAAAAGCAUCUUACGGAUGGCAUGACAGUAAGAGAAUUAUGCAGUGCUGCCAUAACCAUGAGUGAUAACACUGCGGCCAACUUACUUCUGACAACGAUCGGAGGACCGAAGGAGCUAACCGCUUUUUUGCACAACAUGGGGGAUCAUGUAACUCGCCUUGAUCGUUGGGAACCGGAGCUGAAUGAAGCCAUACCAAACGACGAGCGUGACACCACGAUGCCUGUAGCAAUGGCAACAACGUUGCGCAAACUAUUAACUGGCGAACUACUUACUCUAGCUUCCCGGCAACAAUUAAUAGACUGGAUGGAGGCGGAUAAAGUUGCAGGACCACUUCUGCGCUCGGCCCUUCCGGCUGGCUGGUUUAUUGCUGAUAAAUCUGGAGCCGGUGAGCGUGGGUCUCGCGGUAUCAUUGCAGCACUGGGGCCAGAUGGUAAGCCCUCCCGUAUCGUAGUUAUCUACACGACGGGGAGUCAGGCAACUAUGGAUGAACGAAAUAGACAGAUCGCUGAGAUAGGUGCCUCACUGAUUAAGCAUUGGUAACUGUCAGACCAAGUUUACUCAUAUAUACUUUAGAUUGAUUUAAAACUUCAUUUUUAAUUUAAAAGGAUCUAGGUGAAGAUCCUUUUUGAUAAUCUCAUGACCAAAAUCCCUUAACGUGAGUUUUCGUUCCACUGAGCGUCAGACCCCGUAGAAAAGAUCAAAGGAUCUUCUUGAGAUCCUUUUUUUCUGCGCGUAAUCUGCUGCUUGCAAACAAAAAAACCACCGCUACCAGCGGUGGUUUGUUUGCCGGAUCAAGAGCUACCAACUCUUUUUCCGAAGGUAACUGGCUUCAGCAGAGCGCAGAUACCAAAUACUGUCCUUCUAGUGUAGCCGUAGUUAGGCCACCACUUCAAGAACUCUGUAGCACCGCCUACAUACCUCGCUCUGCUAAUCCUGUUACCAGUGGCUGCUGCCAGUGGCGAUAAGUCGUGUCUUACCGGGUUGGACUCAAGACGAUAGUUACCGGAUAAGGCGCAGCGGUCGGGCUGAACGGGGGGUUCGUGCACACAGCCCAGCUUGGAGCGAACGACCUACACCGAACUGAGAUACCUACAGCGUGAGCAUUGAGAAAGCGCCACGCUUCCCGAAGGGAGAAAGGCGGACAGGUAUCCGGUAAGCGGCAGGGUCGGAACAGGAGAGCGCACGAGGGAGCUUCCAGGGGGAAACGCCUGGUAUCUUUAUAGUCCUGUCGGGUUUCGCCACCUCUGACUUGAGCGUCGAUUUUUGUGAUGCUCGUCAGGGGGGCGGAGCCUAUGGAAAAACGCCAGCAACGCGGCCUUUUUACGGUUCCUGGCCUUUUGCUGGCCUUUUGCUCACAUGUUCUUUCCUGCGUUAUCCCCUGAUUCUGUGGAUAACCGUAUUACCGCCUUUGAGUGAGCUGAUACCGCUCGCCGCAGCCGAACGACCGAGCGCAGCGAGUCAGUGAGCGAGGAAGCGGAAGAGCGCCCAAUACGCAAACCGCCUCUCCCCGCGCGUUGGCCGAUUCAUUAAUGCAGG
rnacentral:misc_RNA from 1 species